AUUUAAAUGACCUUUUAUCAAGAUGGAUAAACCCAAGUUUCCCAGUGCUGGAAUACAGAAAAUGGAUGGACAACUGGAUCUACCAUGAAAGACUUCAGAGUUCAGGAAGAGAGACUGACUGGGCAACAUCUUAUUCAGGUACAAAAAGACUUGGACUAUGACUCAAAAAUGAUCAAAUAAUAGUUCAUGCAUCAAAUGCAAUAGGAAGUACUUCUGGAGGGUGAGAGAAGCAUCCAGUUAAGGUGACAUUGAAGCUGGGUCCUGAAAGAUGAGGAAGAGUUGUAUGAGAGUGGGCAGAGAAGGGGGAGGUGGAGGGAUGGGGAAUGGGCUGGGAUGGAGUGAGCUGCUCAAGCAGGGAGACCAGCACUGUAAAGACCUGGACGAUAAAGACGGCACAUUUUAUU
rnacentral:lncRNA from 1 species